rnacentral:lncRNA from 1 species
GGAUCACUCCCAGUCAAUCCAAUUUGCUACUUGUGCUACAGAGAACAUGAAUAUAAAGCAAAUGGUGACUCAUCGAUUUUUCUUGAUGAUAUAUCUAAACUUACAGAAUUUUGAAACUUGCACUGACGAUAUUAAGGUGAUAUAUCUAAACUUUGCUGAAUUUUGAAGAAACUCGCUGCAAAUCAUUACUUAUUUAGGUGAUAUAUCUAAAGUUACAGAAUUUUGAAACUUGCACCGACGAUUUUUCUACACACGCACCAACUAUUCUGUGAUUUUUCAUGGACUGAAGAUAGAAUACGCACCAAACUAAUAUUAAGUCUGGUACAGAAAUUCUCUAUUCUUGAACUGACAAUAUUUCUUCUAUGUGGAAUACACAAGAUCUCCUCAAUUGGCCAUGAUGCAGGCAUCGCCACAGGCAAUACUUGGCGCACCGGAGAACCUGUACUGUUGGAUUUGUCGAGAGAGGACUGAGGGAACACGCCAGCGUUAGGGUGGCGGAUGCAAGUAUUGGAGUUCAGCCUAAAAUCACAAGAGAAUGGAUCAAAAUGAAUUCAGGUUGAUUUCUAAUCAUUUAUCAAGCUAUAAAAGUUAGAACUGAUGUUACACAAACCGAGGCAUUUUUUAUAUGAACAGCUCACGUACUAUGUAUAGUACCACUAUUUUUUUCAUUCUCAUGAACAAAUAACCAUAGACUAACGAGAGAAUGUAUUACUCGAUAGUAGGCAUUUUCUUCUCAGAACCACUUUGGUUUUCUUUUCUUUUUCUUCACUUUUUGCUGCUUGGUUUUUUCUUUGCUUUAUGAAGUGCCCCAUCAGAAAAGUUGAACUUUAGAUUUUACCAAUCUCCACAUCUACUGAAACAAGGGAGCUCCUUUUGAAACAUGUACAAAGAACUAAGAAGGCAUAUACAAGGUCAACUGAAAAACCAUAUACAAGGUGAACCGGAAAAGCUUAUGAGAAAAAAAGUGAACCAACCUUUUGUUGUUUUUCUAGUUACUAAACUACUCCCUCUGUCCCAUAAUGUAAGACGUUUUUGCAGUUCAAUUUGAACUCCAAAAACGUCUUGUAUUAUGGGACGGAGGAGUACUUAUUACCAUAACAGCGGCUAAACUGAUGCUGCAUAUGUAUAUAGGAAGGUUAUUGGUACCAAGAAAAUAGGAUAGUAAACAACAUUAUAAAUUGAAUUCCUGAAUGUUAUAUGAAGAUGAGGCAAUUGUACUUAUGAUUUGGCAUUAGAUGUACUGAAUAGCACACAUAAUAUGGACUGAAAAAAUUGAACUAGCACAACUAUUCUGCUUUGUGAAGAUGGUGGCUUCAAUUCUACAUGGACUGAUGUCCGUGCUCCACUUGGACGGGUGCGAAUAACCAUGGUGGACGAGCUCGUGGCCGAGGGUGGCCAAGGCGACCACCGGAGACUGUAGGUGGUCGUGCUUGUUCUCGGCAGCGAACUUACACGAGGUGGUGGUGAUGGCCGAGGAAGUCAGAAAUCAGCGCUGAACUAAAAAAAUAAGAAUUGUACUAACUAAAAAUUAGAAUUUGAACUGAGCGUGUCACUGAAGAUGAACUUGUGCAUCUGUUUUUUGCUCCCGCACCAGUGUAACAAAUUCAAGAUGACAUGAAUUUUGUGUGCAUAUAAUAAGAUGAAUGAGUGAGAGAAGAAAGAGAGCAAUAAAAGGAUAUUUUUUUCACCUUGAGAUGAUAUCUCUUCUUGAGGUCUUGAUGAAAAGUGACGGUGUAGGUACCAAAUAACCACCAACUAAACACCAGACCUUAACAAACAAUGAUGUCUCCUUCCAGAGUCUGAACUUACUAGAUUUUCAUAAUCUGAAGAGGUGUAAACCUUUAUUGGGAAACUGCUGCAAAAUCCCCAAAUGCCAUAUAAUAUAAAAUCCCCAAACUGCACCAACAUUCAGUUCAAGAUAAGUUAUCAAUUCAGCUCUUAAUAAGCAAGAGAAACAGUAAAGAAAGGAUGCAUUUGCGUCGUCGGGCCAUUCUUUAGGCACACUAAAACAAACAUGCCACUCAUGUUAAGUAUUCUUUCCAAUAAAAUUUCUAGAGUAUCUUUGUUUAAACGUACUAUGGGGCGAACUUUUCAUUGUGUAGUUUUUGAACGCCUAUGGUAGUAAUACAUGAACUCCCUGAGGACACGAAUUCUUAUAUUAGCACCUAAAGUACAGAUCACACAUGAAAAUUGCUCUAAGUGGAGAAAUGAUCACACACGAAAAAUGAUAAUUGCAGGAAAACUUUUAUUUGAAAAAAGCUCUCUGAAUACCUUAUUGAACUAGCUGUUUUGAACUUGCAAACGUUCAUUUCUGCACUUAUCCAAAAUGUUUGAAAGGAGCAGGUUGUUUGACAUUAUUUUGAACACACCUUUUCAUCUCCACUGUAUGGUAUCCUCUCAUAGGUAUUUGCACAAACAGGUGGUGUGCUAUGAAGAACAAUGGUACUGUGAGCGAGUGAAAUCAGAAGUGAAACUCGUUACAAAUUCUUGACAAAAAGGAGCAGCAGAUAACCAUUAGUCCAUUACUCACAACAAACAAAACUCACCCCGUACAUAGCAAUUUCAUAAAUCUGCACGCACCUUGGGGAUUCCACUGGACCUAG